GAGAGUUUGAUCCUGGCUCAGGAUGAACGCUGGCAGCGUGGAUAAGGCAUGCAAGUCUAUCCGCCUUUAUGGCGGAGGCAAACGGGCUAGUAACACGUGGGAAUCUACCCUAAAGACGGGGAUAACCCGGAGAAAUCCGGGAUAAUACCCGAUAAUCUCUUCGGAGUAAAGAUUUAUCGCUUUAGGAGGAGCCCGCGCACUAUCAGCUUGUUGGCGGGGUAAUGGCCCACCAAGGCUAUGACGGUUAAGGGGUGUGAGAGCAUGACCCCUAGCAUUGGCACUGAGACACUGGCCAAACACCUACGGGUGGCUGCAGUCGAGAAUCUUUCACAAUGGGCGAAAGCCUGAUGAAGCGACGCUGCGUGCGGGAUGAAGGCCUUCGGGUUGUAAACCGCUUUUGUAGGGGACGAAUCUUUUGAUGACGGUACCCUUUCGAAUAAGAGGUUGCUAACUCUGUGCCAGCAGCAGCGGUAAUACAGAGACCUCGAGCGUUAUCCGGAUUUACUGGGCGUAAAGCGUCUGUAGGGGGUUUGUUAAGUUCCAAGUAAAAUUUCAAGGCUUAACUUUGAAUUCGCUUGGAAAACUAAUAAACUGGAGUCUAGCAGAGGUGCAUGGAACUUGUGGUGUAGGAGUGAAAUCCGUUGAUAUCACAAGGAACACCAAAGGCGAAGGCAUUGCACUGGGCUAGUACUGACCCUGAGAGACGAAAGCGUGGGGAGCAAAACGGAUUAGAUACCCGUGUAGUCCACGCCCUAAACGAUGAAUGCUAAAUGUUCGGGGAUUCGACCCCCUGGGUGUUACAGCUAACGCGUUAAGCAUUCCGCCUGGGAAGUACGGCCGCAAGGCUAAAACUCAAAGGAAUAGACGGGGAUCCGCACAAGCGGUGGAGCGUCUGGUUUAAUUCGACGGUAAGCGUGGUACCUCACCAGGGUUUGACAUCCCUUGACAGCCUUGGAAACAAGGUUUCCUUCGGGCAAGGUGACAGGUGCUGCAUGGUCGUCGUCAGUUCGUGCCGUGAGGUGUUCCGUUAAGUCGGGAAACGAACGAAACCCCUAUUGCAUGUUAUAAUUUCUCAUGCAAGACUGCCCGGAUAUACUGGGAGGAAGGUGGGGAUGACGUCAGAUCUGCAUGGUCCUUAUAUCCUGGGCGACACAGGCGCUACAAUGGCAAAGACAAAGGGUUGCAAAACCGCAAGGUGAAGCUAAUCCCAAAAACUUUGUCCAAGUUCGGAUUGGAGGCUGCAAUUCGCCUUCAUGAAGCUGGAAUCGCUAGUAAUCGUGAAUCAGCCACGUCACGGUGAAUAUGUUCCCGGAUCUUGUACUCACCGCCCGUCACACCAAGAGAGUUGGUAGCUCCUGAAGCGUCCCGUUUUAGCGGGGCACCACGGAGAGAUCAGCGAUAGGGGUGAAGUCGUAACAA
rnacentral:rRNA from 1 species